GAGAGCUCACAGCCAAUUUCAUGAGACGGUGCUACAUUAUCGUGCCUUCUUGCAUGAGGAAUUCAAGGCCACAUGCGGUUUCGUCACUUGUCAAAGGUUAGUGUUGCUGAGGUUAGAACUGGGUCCCACUUUGAUCUGAUUCCAAAGCCUGAUCCCUUAACUAGUGUGUGGAGCUGACUGCAGGGAGACUGCUACACCCAGGAAGAGCUGCAGCUGUCUCAGUGGCAGCGUGGAACCAAGGUCUACAGUGGCUGCUGAGGUCAGACUUGAAGAAAUGACUCACAUGCAAGGCUGAUCUACAUAAGUAGCCUGUGCUAAGACUGCCAUCUGGUAGAACAAUCUACAUCACACGACUCCACGUUUCCUGUUACCCAAGAUUUUUUUAGUGAAAGAGUAACAGAACAGAGCCUCAGUAACAGCAGAGGAGGAAGGAGAAGAAAAUUCUACUUGCUCAUGAAGACUCAAGAUCUGCUCAGGGCAACUAGAAAAUUUAGCCCUGGUGAAGCCAAGAUAAUCUAUGGGCCACAUUCCCCUAAUCUUGUUAUUGAAAUCCUUCUAUUGCAUCAGAAAAAAAGUUAUUUAUCAGUUGACUGUAAGAGGAAUUAUUGCAUAGUCUUUUGUAUAUGAGACCAGAGAGAACGUGCAGAGAUUGUAUUUUACAUUGUAUCUGAAACACAGAUGCUCUGCUCAUAAACAUUCCUCAUGCCUUCUUCAAGCUGUCCAAGCAAAAUAUGAUUUGCUUUUAAAUUUGAAUAUCUUUAAAAAUUAACAAAUUUAAGACUGUCCUAUCUCAAUCUCCCACAUACUAGGAUGGUGGAUGUGUGCCACCUUUUCCGGCCAUGACGUAACAUGUUUAACUGAUUCCUUCUUCUUCAGCAUCUCCAUGCUCUGCAGGUGCAGCUUCGAUGGACCAUGGCCAUAUUGCCCCACUACUAUCAAUCACACUGAGAUGUAGUCCACAGCAUUCAACAAGCCACCACUCAUGGGAUAGAGGAUAGGCAAAAGGAACAACUAAGACAGUAGAGGAGCCCAGCACUCCGAACCCCUAAUCAUGCCUUCGGUGGAUUCCUUUGGUAAAGUUUUCCUUUGUGGGUUUCUUUCAGCACUUGACCCAUAGCCCAUGGAAUGUGUCAGCUCUAAUUGCCUGUGUGGAUUGGCACAAGUCGUGCCUCAAAAUUGGAAUGUUGUCACAUAUAACAUAGCCUUUCAGAGGGAUAAAUGUGGAAAAUGUUUUACCCAUGAAUUCCUUAGAAGCAAUUGUGCUCUAUCACGUGAAAGGCUGAAGACCUGGACAGAACCUAAUGACUAUAUCCCCAAGAUCCCCAAGGUUCAGUGGCUUUCAGGAUGUUGCUCUCCCUGACUCCAUGGACAUCACAGAAUGACAGUUGUCCACUGGAGUAUUCUUCACCCAGGCAGCUUUCUAAAAAAAGGAAAUUUGAGAGUUGCAAGGACAGAUGAAGGGGCUGAGGGCCUGGGAUCCCUUUAUGUGAGACUCAUUAUUGAAGAACAACUUAUACAAUUAUUAUCUGAGGACCAGGUGACAGCUGUCAAGAAGGCCUCCUUGUAAGAGGGUGCAGAAUAUAUGAAAUUUGUCUUUAGGUGAUGAUCUACUACUAAGAGUGAUGCUAUGAGGUUGGCAUCUAAGGAAAAGAAAAGAGGCUGGCAUAUGGUGAGCACCUAGUCUGUGCCAUGAAUUGUGAACUUAACCUUGAAUUCUCGUAUGUUCAUCUAAGGUCUGUUUUCUUUAAGGAGAGAUUGUGACCCUCUUGGUCUGGUAUGCAAGCUGUGAUGAAUACAGAGCUCUUCAGAUGGAUCAACCCUUUCCUUACUCACUCUACAGCUAUCCUCACCAGACAGACACACAGACAGAUAGAUAGACAGACAGACACAGGUAGAAGGACAUGCAUUUGGACCAAACACUACAGCAAAAUAGCUCAAAGAUCAUUUCAUACAUCAUAAAUUCAGAUAACUUUCUUCUUUUUCCAUAAAUAGUUCUAAUUUAAAAUACACAGUCAAACACCAACAUGUUGUUACCAAAAACAAAACAAAGCAAAGCAAAACAAAACAAACACUAUAAUAUUAUUUGGGGACCCUAAGCUUGUCAAUGAAUCUGUUUAAUUUUGGAGGUAAAAUUAGCCAGGUUUUGAGAUUGAGCUGACUAUCACAAAACCAGAACUUUCCAUCAGCUGGAGAGGGGCAGUUAAUAACUGCCUCCGGG
rnacentral:lncRNA from 1 species